GACGAACGCUGGCGGCGUGCUUAACACAUGCAAGUCGAACGGAAAGGCCCUGCUUUUGUUGGUUGCUCGAGUGGCGAACGGGUGAGUAACACGUGAGUAACCUGCCCUUGACUUUGGGAUAACUUCAGGAAACUGGGGCUAAUACCGGAUAGGAGCUCCUGCUGCAUGGUGGUGGUUGGUAAGUUUCGGCGGUUGGGGAUUGACUCGCGGCUUAUCAGCUUGUUGGUGGGGUAGUGGCUUACCAAGGCUUUGACGGGUAGCCGGCCUGAGAGGGUGACCGGCCACCUUGGGACUGAGGUACGGCCCAGACUCCUACGGGAGGCAGCAGUGGGGAAUAUUGCACAAUGGGCGGAAGCCUGAUGCAGCAACGCCGCGUGCGGGAUGACGGCCUUCGGGUUGUAAACCGCUUUCGCCUGUGACGAAGCGUGAGUGACGGUAAUGGGUAAAGAAGCACCGGCUAGCUACGUG
rnacentral:rRNA from 1 species